rnacentral:rRNA from 1 species
UAGGGAAUCUUCGGCAAUGGGGGCAACCCUGACCGAGCAACGCCGCGUGAGUGAAGAAGGUUUUCGGAUCGUAAAGCUCUGUUGUAAGAGAAGAACGUGUGUGAGAGUGGAAAGUUCACACAGUGACGGUAACUUACCAGAAAGGGACGGCUAACUACGUGCCAGCAGCCGCGGUAAUACGUAGGUCCCGAGCGUUGUCCGGAUUUAUUGGGCGUAAAGCGAGCGCAGGCGGUUUAAUAAGUCUGAAGUUAAAGGCAGUGGCUUAACCAUUGUUCGCUUUGGAAAAUGUUAAACUUGAGUGCAGGAGGGGAGAGUGGAAUUCCAUGUGUAGCGGUGAAAUGCGUAGAUAUAUGGAGGAACACCGGUGGCGAAAGCGGCUCUCUGGUCUGUAACUGACGCUGAGGCUCGAAAGCGUGGGGAGCAAACAGG